rnacentral:lncRNA from 1 species
AUUCAUAGUGUUAUAUAAGGAUAAAGCAAAAAAAUCUGUCCUCAAUGUAGAGUGAAAUGAGACAUGCUGAUCAAAGGUCGUCCCUUGAAACGUCACUUCCGCUUAGGGGCGGACACAUCCCAAACCUGUGGCGGGAGUCGGAGAUCCUGCAGCCGCUACACAAGUUUAAAAUAAGUAUGUCAAGUGCCAGGUGGAACACACUUGUAAUCCCAGCAUUCCUGAGGUUGAAACCUGAGAAUGGAAGAGAGUUCAAGGCCAGUUUGAACUACAUUGUAAAACCCUGUCUCCCCAGAAAAG